rnacentral:rRNA from 1 species
AGUGAACGCUGGCGGUAGGCCUAACACAUGCAAGUCGAACGGCAGCACAGUAAGAGCUUGCUCUUACGGGUGGCGAGUGGCGGACGGGUGAGGAAUACAUCGGAAUCUACUUUUUCGUGGGGGAUAACGUAGGGAAACUUACGCUAAUACCGCAUACGACCUACGGGUGAAAGCAGGGGAUCUUCGGACCUUGCGCGAUUGAAUGAGCCGAUGUCGGAUUAGCUAGUUGGCGGGGUAAAGGCCCACCAAGGCGACGAUCCGUAGCUGGUCUGAGAGGAUGAUCAGCCACACUGGAACUGAGACACGGUCCAGACUCCUACGGGAGGCAGCAAUGGGGAAUAUUGGACAAUGGGCGCAAGCCUGAUCCAGCCAUACCGCGUAGGUGAAGAAGGCCUUCGGGUUGUAAAGCCCUUUUGUUGGGAAAGAAAAGCAGCAGGUUAAUACCCCGCUGUUCUGACGGUACCCAAAGAAUAAGCACCGGCUAACUUCGUG